CAAAUUUAUUUAUUUUCAAUUGGUCAUUAAUGAAAAGAAGCAACUUCUAUGAGAAGUUACAUUAAUGCUAGCUAAUAUCUAAUGAAUUCAUCUGCUUUCAUUAUCUAUUAGAUAUUUUUUCAAAUGACCAUGUAAAGGCAGACAUUUUUUGCAAUUUUUUCUAUUGAAAAUAAUGGGGAUCAAAUAAGGGCUAAAAUUAAAUAGCAUUAACAGUUACAAAAACAACAUUUCUUCAUUAUGUCUUGAAUAAGUAGAAUAUAAAGACAAUUUCAACCCCAAAUUGGAAUAUUAGACAAUGAUUCCACCUUCUGUAUGCGAUGAAGAGAGGUAUUAGUUGCUGUCACCUCCAAAAAGGUAUCCCAGGGAAGAUCCACCACCAGGAGCAGCAUGGAUUUUCGUACACGGUCGAUCCUGUCAAGAAAGGAUCCCGUUAUAUUCGACCUCCACUUCUUGUUGUUAGGAUAGAGAAAACAAGAAAUCAAAUGCAAUUCAACAUCUGAAUGAGUUCGAAAUUUCACAAAUCAAACAAUGGCAAAUCAGCCUUGUGCUCUCCCACUUUACAAACAGUUCUAGAUAGCCAUGUGAUCACCGAGCAACCCUUCAAUUUAAAUCAUCAUGAUAAAGAAGUUGCAGAAGUAGGGAAAGACAUGCAAUUUAAAUCAUCAUGGUCUUCAAAAAUGAGCAGAAUUUUAAAACAACAAAUGUUCCGAAACAAUGUUGGUACUUGGAAUUGACUGAAGAUCUCAUUAACAAGAGUUAAGUCCCUUGUACAGGGUGGUUUGCCAGGCAGAAUGCUAGGUGGUAGCACUGCAUUUGAUGUUGGGCAAAAAACAAAUUUAAACGAAAUUGCAAUUUGUACCCGUUACCCGUCCCUCACAUGGGAGGCAGGGCCCGCGCAAAAUAAAUGUGUGGGACCCACCCCCCCCAUGUGAGUGGCGUGUAAACGCCCGGGUACAUGUAGCAAAGCCCAAUUUAAACAUACCAACACAGUGCUGCCAGGCAUUAUGUCAAACUGCAUGGCAAACCCCCUUAUACAUGUAGCAUGAUUCCAUUAAAAAGGAAUCACCCUCUUCACCAUUUGCACAUCAGCACAUGCAUGGGUAUGUUUAGCAAUCAUCUGUAGAUACAAACAUGCAUUUGCACCCACACAAAAUGUGUUUAAAAAGAAUAAAACGCGUGCUCAGGCCUUUUUCUAGCUUCAGUGCAAACCAAAAGAAAAACAGAAGUACUAAAAAAAAUUUACUAUUUAACACCAAAGUGAUCCAACAAUUUACCAGUCACCACAUUAUUAAUUGUGAUUUGAUGUAACUGAAUAUGAUAAUUGAAGGAAUCAUUUUCUAUCUUUUUGUACUUUUUUACGCUACUCCUUCACACAGCGUUUCCACUGACUAAUCAAAUCAAAAACUCAAACUAACAAAAAUUUACUAUUUAACUCUAAAUUGAUCCACACAUUUACCAGAUCAUUGAAGGCAAUUAAAUAAACAAACAAGCAACAAGAAACGGAAACCACCGAGUAACGUCGGAGUCAAACUUUUGCUUGCACAUAAAAACCAGAAUCAAAAUAUCGAUCUGUGAACAAAAACAAUGAAACAAACAGCAAUGUAAAGUAAAUAAUUUCAAAAAAUGUGGAGAUAGGAAAGGACUUACCAGUGUUCUUAGAGUUCAGAUCUGAGCU
rnacentral:lncRNA from 1 species